UACGGAGGGGGCUAGCGUUAUUCGGAAUUACUGGGCGUAAAGCGCGCGUAGGCGGUCAAUUAAGUCAGAUGUGAAAGCCCAGGGCUCAACCCUGGAACUGCAUUUGAAACUAGUUGACUAGAAUCCGUUAGAGGAUGGUGGAAUUCUUAGUGUAGAGGUGAAAUUCGUAGAUAUUAAGAGGAACACCGGUGGCGAAGGCGACCAUCUGGGACGGUAUUGACGCUAAGGCGCGAAAGCGUGGGGAGCAAACAGG
rnacentral:rRNA from 1 species